rnacentral:lncRNA from 1 species
AACAAACAAAUAAGUGUAAUAGAGUUUGAAAAUCGACUUCCAAAGGGUGGCAUAUGGCUGCAAGAGUGAGUUGUGGAGCGAAAGUAUAUGCGCGCCGAAACUGAACGUACAAAAUAAGUAGAAAAGAUCAGGAUUUUAGGAUGUGAUGGUGACUAUUAUUUAUGAGUUGUUGGGCUGUGAUUGAGGUUGAUUUUUGGGAUUGUUUUUCUUGUUUUUGGAUGUGAUUUUGGAAGAAUUAGAGUGAAGAAACCACUGGGUUUAUCGAGGCUGCUGUGGUAAUUAGGGUUAUGCUUGGCCAAAGAGGUGGUUGGUUUGUGACUACGAGGCUGAAGGGUUGUUGGGAAUGGAUGGUAUAGUGGAGAUGUGCUUUUUCGGGCUAAACAAUGGUGGUUAAUUUGAUUAAAAAAGAAAAAGAAGAAGAAGAAGAAGAAGAGACUGCAACAAUGGGUUGUUUGGUUAUGACUUUCAUCGUUGUCGUUGUGGAAUUGUUUGGGAUGAGGGAGAGACGACAUUGUGGUUUAGCAAUGAAGGUAGUUGUCUGGUGGCUGGUCUUGUGGAGAAGAUGGUAGAAUCCGGCAAAGGCAAAGAAGAGCAGCGACUAAAGUUAGGGUUUUUUUUUUUUUUUUUUUGUAUUCUCUUCUCUCUCUCUCUCUCUCUCUCUCUCGGGGU